AACUUUCAACAACGGAUCUCUUGGUUCCGGCAUCGAUGAAGAACGCAGCGAAAUGCGAUACGUAAUGUGAAUUGCAGAAUUCAGUGAAUCAUCGAGUCUUUGAACGCACAUUGCGCCCCCUGGUAUUCCGGGGGGCAUGCCUGUCCGAGCGU
rnacentral:rRNA from 1 species